rnacentral:rRNA from 1 species
UGAUCCUGGCUCAGAGCGAACGCUGGCGGCAGGCCUAACACAUGCAAGUCGAACGGACCCUUCGGGGUUAGUGGCGGACGGGUGAGUAACACGUGGGAACGUGCCUUUAGGUUCGGAAUAGCUCCUGGAAACGGGUGGUAAUGCCGAAUGUGCCCUUCGGGGGAAAGAUUUAUCGCCUUUAGAGCGGCCCGCGUCUGAUUAGCUAGUUGGUGAGGUAAUGGCUCACCAAGGCGACGAUCAGUAGCUGGUCUGAGAGGAUGACCAGCCACAUUGGGACUGAGACACGGCCCAAACUCCUACGGGAGGCAGCAGUGGGGAAUCUUGCGCAAUGGGCGAAAGCCUGACGCAGCCAUGCCGCGUGAAUGAUGAAGGUCUUAGGAUUGUAAAAUUCUUUCACCGGGGACGAUAAUGACGGUACCCGGAGAAGAAGCCCCGGCUAACUUCGUGCCAGCAGCCGCGGUAAUACGAAGGGGGCUAGCGUUGCUCGGAAUUACUGGGCGUAAAGGGCGCGUAGGCGGAUCGUUAAGUCAGAGGUGAAAUCCCGGAGCUCAACUUCGGAACUGCCUUUGAUACUGGCGAUCUUGAGUGUGAGAGAGGUAUGUGGAACUCCGAGUGUAGAGGUGAAAUUCGUAGAUAUUCGGAAGAACACCAGUGGCGAAGGCGACAUACUGGCUCAUUACUGACGCUGAGGCGCGAAAGCGUGGGGAGCAAACAGGAUUAGAUACCCUGGUAGU